UACAUACAAUUAGGACAUCGAAACGAGUAAAAUAGAAAACUAAAGUAGAAUCAAUCUUAUAAAACGGUACGCAAGUUUUUAAUGUACAAGUACACCCACCUAACAAAGAGGGCAACGUUGCGUGCCCGUACAAAGGAUCACAUAUAUUAUUUGGUUAGCCAACGGGAACCAGCAGGCAGCACCAACAAAACGUUCUUUCGGGGAGUCAAAGGUCCUUUAGUUGGGCGGUAGGGACAAAAUAAUGUCUUUGUUGGGAUAUUCUUAAAGUUAAGUCAGGUGUCAGGAAAGGAAGGAGAAUAGGUGAGACGCGGCCGCCGAUGCGGGUAAGGCAGCACGCGGCCGCGGGCUGGGCGGCAGCGGCCGCUGGUGUUCGUUGCUGGCAACGUGGAGAGGCGCGCGGUCGUAGGAGGAGCUGGAGCGGAGAGGCACGCUUGUUUGCCGCAGCGGCGGCCGCCGGUGCCGGUGGUACGAACUUGACUGCCCGCAACUGCCGUGCCCCGAGUAGAAGCUCCACAAGCGGUACGACCGGCUGUGUAAGAGGCCGCCCCAGAGAAGUACCGCUGCCACCGCGACGUGGACACUCUUUCUGUCCAUUCCCUUCUAUAUUUCCUCCUCUCCGUCCCUCUUCCUCUCCCGCGCUCCUUGCUGCGCCUCCAGGGCAGAGGGCGCACCCCCCCCGCUGCUCGACGUGCCGCCGUCGUCGACAGGACGCACGCCGGUCUCUCUCUCGGCCCUACUUCUUCCCUUCCUUCUCCACCGCCCUAGGACGCGCCGACCUAACCACGGGGCCACCACGAUGACGACGGCAACCUGCGGCCAGCUUCCCUGUUCAGGGAUCUCUUCCUGUCCCAAGUUCAACAACCCGGCCACCGUCCCCGUCGUACUACAAAAGCAGUCCAUUGUUGGAUCGGUAGCUGAGUUCUAAAUUGACUUGGUUAAGGAAAUUAAUUUCGAGGUUUAGCAACAAUAAACUAAGUGAUUGACCAAUGAUCGUUGUUGAUUAACUUGUAUAUUAACAACUAAAGACAUGUUUGUUAUAGAAAUCAACAAAAGUCUAGAAGUUAUUCCUAGUAGUUCGGGAGAACAAAAAUAGACUUCUUAUCUGUAACAUUAACACGGAGGUAAUGCAGAUUUUCAGUCCAUAGCCUUUUUACAGUAAUCGUAUAGAGACAGUGCUACCUUCUAACCAAUCUGUCUUUUUCCUGGAGACCAAUACAUACUGUACUACGUUCCGUGUAUAGAGACUUACUUCGCGUUGUUCUUAACUGUAGGAGAUUACGAUUGACAACUGGUAAGAAAAGACUUCAUAGUCCAAUCAUAGGGUACACGGGGGAUAAGUAGACAGUAGCGACGUAUUUUUAAAUUACGUCAAAAAUUCGGAUACAAAUUCCCAUCGAUGUAGAAAUACCUGGUUGGUAUAAUUGUAAAACUCUAUUGUUUAGUUGGAAGUAGUACAUGAAUACAACAUUGAAGAGGGUAGAAAACACGAUAAUAGAUUUUCUCCACACCUAACCUUAGUCAAAAAAAACGACGUGGGGGUAAGGCUGCUCCAGUGUGUGUAUAUGGUGACCCUUAGGGUGCUUGGGAUACAGGCUCGUGCUCGCUGCCGUUAUCGUAGACGUUCAUGAACUGGUUGUGCGAUGGGCCCACACCAUAGGUGAUAACUCCGGUUCGUUGGAUCGAGCCAGUAGGAAUUCACACAAACACAGGUGGUGGACUACUUCUUGCCCCUCUUCUAACGACUGAAACACGGAUUACUACCAACGGACUUGAAGCAUCUCGUUUAACUGCUCCACAACUAACGACUUAAACCAGAAUUCUCCGUGCAGCACCCUUUAUAGGGAACACCGUCCAAGUUUCAACACUACCAUAGACCACAGAGGGUCGCUCUAAACAAGGAAGAGAAUUGUCAAUGAUAAUUCUUGUUUAAAUACAAAGGUAGUUUUUUCAACCGGCCGGGGUCGUUUUUUUUCUUGUCAAGGUCGUUUUUUUCUAGCGGCGGCACCAGUGUCCACAGUUGUUCGUCAGAAGUCUUAGUAGUUAUUCGGUUGUCGCUCUUUAUUCAAAUUCUUAACUCAAGGGAAUUGUCCCUUUAUUCCUUCCCUUCUUUGUUUAUCCCUUGUUAGUCUGCUUCGUAGUUCCUUUUACCUAACUUGUUAGUCUACUUCGUAGGUAGAGCUCCUCUUCGUACCAGACGUUCCUCUGGUUAGUAGAACUCCACCAAGAAAGUCGAUGACGUACAAGGUAAUACCUCUUCCCAUGAAUCAGCUAGAAUCCUCGGUCUGAGACGAAAGGAACGUCCCUCUUAAAAUUAUUUACCACUAUAAUGAGAGGGUUGUUAAGAAAAUAGUGAUGUUUUACACAUCCUUGGAAUAAAAAGGGACUCUAUGACAUUAACUCCUUGGCUCUCGGCGCUGCCUUGUAACAUAAAACGUGAUGUAGGACAUAAACGAAACACCCUUCGACCG
rnacentral:rRNA from 1 species